rnacentral:rRNA from 1 species
AUAGCAAUAGCUACUUGCAUCAUUGUACAGAUGAUGCAAGAUCGACUAUGUCGAAUAAAAUUCUAGGUAGAAUUAUGAUAAUGACAUUGUCUGCCUAUGUGUCUUGACCAAAUUACGUGCCAGCAGUCGCGGUAAUACGUAGAAGACUAGUGUUAUUCAUGUUUAAUCGGUUUAAAGGGUACCUAGACGGUAGAUCAAGCUUUUGCAUAUAAAUUAUGCCAAUUAAAGGACUAAUUUGCUAGAGUUACUUACGAGGGGGUAUUAAAGUACUGCUGGUGUAGAGAUGAAAUUCUGUUAUACCUCUUUUCGAAAGAAAAAUCAUGGCACAGGUAUAGGCGAAGGCAUCCCCUUAUGUGAUAACUGACGUUGAGGGACGAAGGCUUUUUGUAACAAACAGGAUUAGAUACCCUAGUAGUUGAAGCAGAAAAUGAUGAAUGUCAUAGAUUAGAUAUAUAAGUUUAUUCUAUAAAUGAAAGUGUAAGCAUUCCACCUCAUGAGUAAUUUGGCAACAUUGGAACUGAAAUCAUUAGACCGUUUCUGAAACCAGUAGUGAAGUAUGUUGUUUAAUUUGAUGAUCCGCAAAAAACCUUACCACAAUUUGAAUAUUUAUAUUUUUUUAUUGUUUUCUUCUUAAUUUUCUUCUAAUAACAUAUUCAACAUGU